UACGUAGGUGGCAAGCGUUGUCCGGAUUUACUGGGCGUAAAGAGCGCGCAGGCGGUCGUUCAAGUCGCGUGUGAAAGCCCCCGGCUCAACUGGGGAGGGUCACGCGAUACUGAUCGACUCGAAGGCAGGAGAGGGAAGUGGAAUUCCCGGAUGUAGUGGUGAAAUGCGUAGAUAUCGGGAGGAACACCAGUGGCGAAGGCGACUUCCUGGCCUGUUCUUGACGCUGAGGCGCGAAGGUCAGGGGAGCAAACGGG
rnacentral:rRNA from 1 species